AUUGAACGCUGGCGGCAGGCUUAACACAUGCAAGUCGAGCGGGGGAAGGUAGCUUGCUACCGGACCUAGCGGCGGACGGGUGAGUAAUGCUUAGGAAUCUGCCUAUUAGUGGGGGACAACAUCUCGAAAGGGAUGCUAAUACCGCAUACGUCCUACGGGAGAAAGCAGGGGAUCUUCGGACCUUGCGCUAAUAGAUGAGCCUAAGUCGGAUUAGCUAGGUGGUGGGGUAAAGGCCUACCAAGGCGACGAUCUGUAGCGGGUCUGAGAGGAUGAUCCGCCACACUGGGACUGGGACACGGCCCAGACUGCUACGGGAGGCAGCAGUGGGGAAUAUUGGACAAUGGGGGGAACCCUGAUCCAGCCAUGCCGCGUGUGUGAAGAAGGCCUUAUGGUUGUAAAGCACUUUAAGCGAGGAGGAGGCUACUUUAGUUAAUACCGAGGGAUAGUGGACGUUACUCGCAGAAUAAGCACCGGCUAACUCUGUGCCAGCAGCCGCGGUAA
rnacentral:rRNA from 1 species